rnacentral:tRNA from 1 species
AGUUUUAUAGUGGAAAUAAAAGACGUCGAGUUGCAACCUCGAAGAUGUGAUUUUUUCACUAAAACUU